GAUGAACGCUGGCGGCGUGCCUAAUACAUGCAAGUCGAGCGAACAGACGAGGAGCUUGCUCCUCUGACGUUAUCGGCGGACGGGUGAGUAACACGUGGAUAACCUACCUAUAAGACUGGGAUAACUUCGGGAAACCGGAGCUAAUACCGGAUAAUAUAUUGAACCGCAUGGUUCAAUAGUGAAAGACGGUUUUGCUGUCACUUAUAGAUGGAUCCGCGCCGCAUUAGCUAGUUGGUAAGGUAACGGCUUACCAAGGCAACGAUGCGUAGCCGACCUGAGAGCGUGAUCGGCCACCCUGGAACUGAGACACGGUCCAGACUCCUACGGGAGGCAGCAGUAGGGAAUCUUACGCGAUGGGCGAGAGCUUGACGGAGCAACGCCGCGUGAGUGAUGAAGGUCUUCGGAUCGUUAAACUCUGUUAUUAGGGAAGAACAAAUGUGUAAGUAACUAUGCACGUCUUGACGGUACCUAAUCAGAAAGCCACGGCUAACUACGUG
rnacentral:rRNA from 1 species